rnacentral:rRNA from 1 species
CCUACGGGUGGCAGCAGUGAGGAAUAUUGGUCAAUGGACGAGAGUCUGAACCAGCCAAGUAGCGUGAAGGAUGACUGCCCUAUGGGUUGUAAACUUCUUUUAUAUGGGAGUAAAAUGUUCAACGAGUGGGAUUUUGUAUGUACCAUACGAAUAAGGAUCGGCUAACUCCGUGCCAGCAGCCGCGGUAAUACGGAGGAUCCGAGCGUUAUCCGGAUUUGUUGGGUUGAAAGGGAGCGUAGGUGGGUUGUUAAGUCAGGUGUGAAAGUGUGCGGCUCAACCGUAGAAUGGCAGUUGAAACUGGCAGUCGUGAGUACAGUAGAGGUAGGCGGAAUUCGUGGUGUAGCGGUGAAAUGCUUAGAUAUCACGAAGAACUCCGAUUGCGAAGGCAGUUCACUGGACUUCAACUGACGCUGAGGCACGAAGGUGUGGGGAUCGAACAGGAUUAGAUACCCCAGUAGUC